rnacentral:rRNA from 1 species
UACAUGGGGUGCAAACGUUGUUCGGAAUUACUGGGCGUAAAGCGCGUGUAGGCGGCCUAGUGUGUCGGGCGUGAAAUCCCACGGCUCAACCGUGGAAGUGCACUCGAAACUGCAAGGCUGGAGUACUGGAGAGGAUGGUAGAAUGCUCGGUGUAGAGGUGAAAUUCGUAGAUAUCGAGCGGAAUACCGGUGGCGAAGGCGGCCAUCUGGACAGUCACUGACGCUGAGACGCGAAAGCGUGGGGAGCAAACAGG